rnacentral:tRNA from 1 species
AGUAAAAUGCCUGAAUAAAGGAUUAUUUUGAUAGAAUAAAUCAUGUAUAAAAUACUUUUACUU